CGGCUUCAAAAUAAAUUUAAUGAUUUUAAAAACAUUAUUAAGAGAAUUUCUGAUGUUUUUAUGAACUAAUUCUGUAUUUAUUUAUUUAUUUUUUUAAUCACGUGACUCUUUCAAAGUCAACGAUUGGUCAACAACGAAGCGCGGAUUUUUCCGGGGACGAUUUGAAAAUUGGUGUGAUUGAAAUGCUGAGACCAAAAAUAGAGAUUUUGAAGUCGAAGUUCCUUUUUUACUGUGACUUAAAUGCAGAGCUAUGGGAAAAUACCUCAACAAUAUAACUGUAUCAUAUCACCAAACCCAAGGAAAAGUGCUUAGAACAUGUUGAAGGGUUAAACCACAUAGCAUAUUCAAAUGAAGAUCACAGAGAGAAAGAUUGGGUGAAUAGACUUAGGAGUGUAGGCGAUCUGUGAGUGUGAUCAAUCAGUGACAAAUCCAUGUACAGGACAAGCCUGUAGGAUGCAAUUUCAGUUUGGGGGGUUGGGAACACCCCUACCUGGAGAUUCCAACCAUGUAGUGACUAGACGCAAAAGGAUUAAAAACUGUUAUUCUAUAAAAUUAUAUAUAUAAUCUUGUUGAUGAUUUUAUAUUCCAAUUUAUUCUCUAAUUAUUUAUGGAAGAUUUAUAGAACUGAAAAUAAUGAUUUCAUGGACUGUCAAAAUUUCAUGCUUUUGAAUAACAAUUCUGUAAGUUAAAAAAGAGAUUUAAUUUUUUUGGUAUAUCAGAUCUGAAUGCAUUUU